rnacentral:rRNA from 1 species
AGACCCGAAACCCGGUGAUCUAGCCAUGGGCAGGUUGAAGGUUGGGUAACACUAACUGGAGGACCGAACCGACUAAUGUUGAAAAAUUAGCGGAUGACCUGUGGCUGGGGGUGAAAGGCCAAUCAAACCGGGAGAUAGCUGGUUCUCCCCGAAAGCUAUUUAGGUAGCGCCUCGUGAAUUCAUCUCCGGGGGUAGAGCACUGUUUCGGCUAGGGGGCCAUCCCGGCUUACCAACCCGAUGCAAACUGCGAAUACCGGAGAAUGUUAUCACGGGAGACACACGGCGGGUGCUAACGUCCGUCGUGAAGAGGGAAACAACCCAGACCGCCAGCUAAGGUCCCAAAGUCAUGGUUAAGUGGGAAACGAUGUGGGAAGGCCCAGACAGCCAGGAUGUUGGCUUAGAAGCAGCCAUCAUUUAAAGAAAGCGUAAUAGCUCACUGGUCGAGUCGGCCUGCGCGGAAGAUGUAACGGGGCUAAACCAUGCACCGAAGCUGCGGCAGCGACGCUGAUGCGUUGUUGGGUAGGGGAGCGUUCUGUAAGCCUGCGAAGGUGGCCUGUGAGGGUUGCUGGAGGUAUCAGAAGUGCGAAUGCUGACAUAAGUAACGAUAAAGCGGGUGAAAAGCCCGCUCGCCGGAAGACCAAGGGUUCCUGUCCAACGUUAAUCGGGGCAGGGUGAGUCGACCCCUAAGGCGAGGCCGAAAGGCGUAGUCGAUGGGAAACGGGUUAAUAUUCCCGUACUUGGUGUUACUGCGAAGGGGGGACGGAGAAGGCUAUGUUGGCCGGGCGACGGUUGUCCCGGUUUAAGCGUGUAGGUGUGUGUUCCAGGUAAAUCCGGUUCACUUUAACACUGAGGCGUGAUGACGAGGCACUACGGUGCUGAAGCAACAAAUGCCCUGCUUCCAGGAAAAGCCUCUAAGCAUCAGGUAACAUCAAAUCGUACCCCAAACCGACACAGGUGGUCAGGUAGAGAAUACCAAGGCGCUUGAGAGAACUCGGGUGAAGGAACUAGGCAAAAUG